rnacentral:rRNA from 1 species
AGUCACUGACAUUAGAUACCCGUGUAGUCCCAGCCGUAAACUAUGCGCGUUAGGUGUACUGGUGACCACGAGUCACCGGGGUGCCGAAGGGAAACCGCGAAACGUGCCGCCUGGGAAGUACGGUCGCAAGGCUGAAACUUAAAGGAAUUGGCGGGGGAGCACCGCAACGGGAGGAGCGUGCGGUUUAAUUGGAUUCAACACCGGAAAACUCACCAAGGGCGACUGUUACAUGAAAGCCAGGCUAAUGACCUUGCUUGAUUUUCAG